GGAAUUGUGGCUCAGUGGUAGAGCACUUGCCUCACAUGCGUGGGGCACUGGGUUCAAGCCUCAGCACCA
rnacentral:tRNA from 1 species